GACGAACGCUGGCGGCGUGCUUAACACAUGCAAGUCGAACGGAAAGGCCCUGCUUUUGUGGGGUGCUCGAGUGGCGAACGGGUGAGUAACACGUGAGUAACCUGCCCUUGACUUUGGGAUAACUUCAGGAAACUGGGGCUAAUACCGGAUAGGAGCUCCUGCUGCAUGGUGGGGGUUGGAAAGUUUCGGCUGUUGGGGAUGGACUCGCGGCUUAUCAGCUUGUUGGUGGGGUAGUGGCUUACCAAGGCUUUGACGGGUAGCCGGCCUGAGAGGGUGACCGGCCACAUUGGGACUGAGAUACGGCCCAGACUCCUACGGGAGGCAGCAGUGGGGAAAAUUGCACAAUGGGCGGAAGCCUGAUGCAGCAACGCCGCGUGCGGGAUGACGGCCUUCGGGUUGUAAACCGCUUUCGCCUGUGACGAAGCGUGAGUGACGGUAAUGGGUAAAGAAGCACCGGCUAACUACGUG
rnacentral:rRNA from 1 species